AUUAAUAAAAGGGGCGGAGCACAUACAGAGGGAGGAGGGGGGAGGGGGAGGGGGAAGAAGGAGAAGGUAUUACAAAAAUAGAGUCUAGCUAUUGAAUAAAUAAAAGCUUUCAAUUACUGAUUGCAAGUCCUUCCCAGUGCGCUUCGUCUUGGGCUCCUCCAUCUUCUUGUGGAUCUCUUUAGGAAGUUGCUUUAACAUCAGCUUGAUUACAUUCUUUGUGUUGACCUUGGAAAGGUCAUCCUCAUCAGGCAUUGUAGUCAAAUGUAUCCUCUUCCUCUUUCCUAAUGGAGUCACCAAAAUGUGUGUUGAUGCAAAUUUGGUCACAUACUAAAAGUACUAGAACUUGUGAAUUAGAAAUGGAUCUUGGUGUGAAUCUACAAAAAUAGGCAGAUCCUGUUUUCUAAAAUAGGCCAGACUAGUUUUUUU
rnacentral:lncRNA from 1 species